UACGUAGGUGGCAAGCGUUGUCCGGAUUUAUUGGGGUUAAAGGGUGCGUAGGCGGUCCUAUAAGUCAGUGCUGAAAUAUCCCGGCUUAACCGGGAGGGUGGCAUUGAUACUGUGGGACUUGAGUAAAGUUGAGGUUGGCGGAAUUGACGGUGUAGCGGUGAAAUGCUUAGAUAUCGUCAAGAACACCUAUUGCGAAGGCAGCUAACUAAGCUUUAACUGACGCUGAGGCACGAAAGUGUGGGGAUCAAACAGG
rnacentral:rRNA from 1 species